UACGGGGGGGGCAAGCGUUGUUCGGAAUUACUGGGCAUAAAGCGCACGUAGGUGGUCCGCUAAGUCGGAUGUGAAAUUCCCCGGCUCAACCGGGGAACGGCAAUCGAUACUGGAUGGCUUGAAUCCGGGAGAGGGAUGUGGAAUUCCAGGUGUAGCGGUGAAAUGCGUAGAUAUCUGGAGGAACACCGGUGGCGAAGGCGGCAUCCUGGACCGGUAUUGACGCUGAGGCGCGAAAGCCAAGGGAGCAAACGGG
rnacentral:rRNA from 1 species